CUUCCGUAGGUGAACCUGCGGAAGGAUCAUU
rnacentral:rRNA from 13 species